GAUGAACGCUGGCGGCGUGCCUAAUACAUGCAAGUCGAGCGAACAGACGAGGAGCUUGCUCCUCUGACGUUAGCGGCGGACGGGUGAGUAACACGUGGAUAACCUACCUAUAAGACUGGGAUAACUUCGGGAAACCGGAGCUAAUACCGGAUAAUAUAUUGAACCGCAUGGUUCAAUAGUGAAAGACGGUUUUGCUGUCACUUAUAGAUGGAUCCGCGCCGCAUUAGCUAGUUGGUAAGGUAACGGCUUACCAAGGCAACGAUGCGAAGCCGACCUGAGAGCGUGAACGGCCACACUGGAACUGAGACACGGUCCAGACUCCUACUGGAGGCAGCAGUAGGGAAUCUUCCGCAAUGGGCGAAAGCCUGACGGAGCAACGCCGCGUGAGUGAUGAAGGUCUUCGGAUCGUAAAACUCUGUUAUUAGGGAAGAACAAAUGUGUAAGUAACUAUGCACGUCUUGACGGUACCUAAUCAGAAAGCCACGGCUAACUACGUG
rnacentral:rRNA from 1 species